AGUGAACGCUGGCGGUAGGCCUAACACAUGCAAGUCGAACGGCAGCACCGUAAGAGCUUGCUCUUACGGGUGGAGAGUGGCGGCCGGGUGAGGAAUACAUCGGAAUCUAUUUUUUCGUGGGGGAUAACGAAGGGAAACUUACGCUAAUACAGCAUACGAACUACGGGUGAAAGCAGGGGAUCUUCGGACCUUGCGCGAUUGAAUGAGCCGAUGUCGGAUUAGCUAGUUGGCGGGGUAAAGGCCCACCAAGGCGACGAUCCGUAGCUGGUGUGCGAGGGUGAUCAGCGACACUGGAACUGAGACACGGUCCAGACUCCCACGGGAGGCAGCAGUGGGGAAUAUUAGACAAUGGGAGCAAGCCUGAUCCAGCCGUACCGCGUGGGUGAAGAAGACCUUCGGGUUGUAAAGCCCUUUUGUUGGGAAAGAAAAGCAGCAGGUUAAUACCCCGCUGUUCUGACGGUACCCAAAGAAUAAGCACCGGCUAACUUCGUG
rnacentral:rRNA from 1 species